GGCCUAACACAUGCAAGUCGAGCGGUAACAGAAAGUAGCUUGCUACUUUGCUGACGAGCGGCGGACGGGUGAGUAAUGCUUGGGAACAUGCCUUGAGGUGGGGGACAACAGUUGGAAACGACUGCUAAUACCGCAUAAUGUCUACGGACCAAAGGGGGCUUCGGCUCUCGCCUUUAGAUUGGCCCAAGUGGGAUUAGCUAGUUGGUGAGGUAAUGGCUCACCAAGGCGACGAUCCCUAUAGCUGGUUUGAGAAGGAUGAUCAGCCACACUGGGACUGAGACACGGCCCAGACUCCUACGGGAGGCAGCAGUGGGGAAUAUUGCACAAUGGGCGCAAGCCUGAUGCAGCCAUGCCGCGUGUGUGAAGAAGGCCUUCGGGUGGUAAAGCACUUUCAGUCAGGAGGAAAGGUUAGUAGUUAAUACCUGCUAGCUGUGACGUUACUGACAGAAGAAGCACCGGCUAACUCCGUGCCAGCAGCCGCGGUAAUACGGAGGGUGCGAGCGUUAAUCGGAAUUACUGGGCGUAAAGCGUACGCAGGCGGUUUGUUAAGCGAGAUGUGAAAGCCCCGGGCUCAACCUGGGAACUGCAUUUCGAACUGGCAAACUAGAGUGUGAUAGAGGGUGGUAGAAUUUCAGGUGUAGCGGUGAAAUGCGUAGAGAUCUGAAGGAAUACCGAUGGCGAAGGCAGCCACCCUGGGUCAACACUGACGCUCAUUU
rnacentral:rRNA from 1 species